CAAGGUGUAGCUUAAAAUAAAGCACCUGGCCUACGCCCAGGAGACAUCGUACAAAAAGAUCACUUUGAA
rnacentral:tRNA from 1 species